rnacentral:rRNA from 1 species
GUGCCAGCAGCCGCGGUAAUACCCGCAGCUCUAGUGGUGGCCGCUAUUAUUGGGCCUAAAACGUCCGUAGCCGGUCUGGUAAAUGCCCGGGUAAAUCAUGGGGCUCAACCUCAUGCAUUCCGGGCAGACUGCUAGACUUGGGACCGGGAGAGGCCGGAGGUACUCCAGGGGUAGGGGUGAAAUCCUGUAAUCCCUGGGGGACCACCUGUGGCGAAAGCGUCCGGCCAGAACGGGUCCGACGGUGAGGGACGAAGCCCAGGGGCGCAAACCGGAUUAGAUACCCGGGUAGUCCGC